UUUUAUGGACCGCUGUGGUUCUGGGGGCACAUUUGUGACUACCGGAGUGAAAUAUGAAUAGUGUGUAGCUCAUACCUAAUUUGUUAAUAAUUGUUAUACAAGUAAUAAGUUACAAAGUUUAAUUAACAGCAAAGGAGUGCAGGUUUUGGUGCUUGUCAAUGUUAUACCCCCCCAAAAAAAAAAUAAAUAAAUAAAAUAAAUAAAAAAAAAACGGGUCAGUCCGGACCUCUCUGUCACGGCGUGCCCCUUCACAUCCCAACAAUGUGAAGGCGUUACUGACUGACAUUUUUACCUUUUAAACUAUUUGUAAAGCGCUUUGUCUAAGGUUUUGGUGUAUUUAUCUUGUAACGCUCCUUUUUAUUAUUUCUGUGUUUCUUUGAGUCUCCCCAAUAAUUGUUUUCUUUUGUAGCUUGGGGUGAAGAGGAGGAUAAUAGCGGUAAUUAAAGGUUUAGUGAUUAUAUGAAAAAAGUAUAUUUAUAAGGCGUGUAUUCGUGGGAGUGAUUUAAAAGUUUUGAAACAUUUAUUAUAAAUAGUCUUUACUUUUUUCAACUGUAGUUUUCUCUAAUCAGUGGUAAUACGAAUAAUAGAAUUACAUCAUGUUGCGUCAGCCUACCAGUAACUCAUAAGGUGUCAUUCCCUAGCUUAUAAAAUACGUUAGUAAUUUAGAAUUCAAUUAUUAACUUCAACUAAUGUCCAGUCUAUAUGCUCACCUUGCUAGCCAAUUAUUCCUGCAUUUUUAUUUAAACUCACGGUUCAGUAAAAUUAUUUGUGAAAGAAGAGAGAGAGAGAGAGAGAACUAGCUAAGGCUCCAAUAACUUAAGAGGCCUGUGGGUGUUGAGGGAGAGAGCACAAAAUGGCGUCUCCCUUCCCUCUGGCAACAGGUGGGUCUCGUAGCUCUGAAAUAUUUGAUUUUUCUUUUAUUUAGAAGUGAAUAUUACUGUGUUCAUGUUUAUUAUUCAUGUCUAGUGAAGAUAUAGUGACUGUACGUGUUGACAGAAUGGCGUCUCCCUUCCCUCUGGCAACAGUGUUGCCACGGUGACGGUGGUGGUGGGCAUGACACAGAUGCGGGAGGUGGAGUUUGUGCCCGAUGGAGACAUGCAGGUGGACAAAUUGUGUUGGUCAUUGGUCAGACUGGAGUUUACAUGUGUACCUCCUUCACCAUCAUUGGUGGACACUUCACCAUGAGUGAUGCUUGAGCUGUCAUGGUGCUGCUGGUGCUGUGUGCCAUCAUCACCCUGACACAGACCACCCUGCAGACACCUUCAUCCUGGGUGCCACACGUCACUGCUGCUACAACUCAGAGCAACUGGAGCGCAAGCCAGGAAGGGAAAUGUGUGCAGGUUUGCAGUAAACCUCCCUGAAGGUUCCAGAGCUGCUCAGCAAGUGUCCAGUCCAGGCUGUCACAAGACUGUGUGACAGUGGACCUUCCACUGAUACUCACUGAAAACAGCUGUGCACUGCCACUCACAGGAAGUGGUGACCACUCUAGAUUGAGUUGCCUUGAAGCUGAGAUGAGUUGGUCAGCUAGUGAGUGGCUUCAAUCAAGUGACUGUGAGGUGUUGCCUUCAAUCAAGUGACUGUGAGGUGUUGCCUUCAAUCAAGUGACUGUGAGGUGUUGCCUUCAAUCAAGUGACUGUGAGGUGUUGGCUUCGAUCAAGUGACUGUGAGGUGUUGCCUUCAAUCAAGUGACUGUGAGGUGUUGCCUUCAAUCAAGUGACUGUGAGGUGUUGGCUUCGAUCAAGUGACUGUGAGGUGUUGCCUUCAAUCAAGUGACUGUGAGGUGUUGCCUUCGAUCAAGUGACUGUGAGGUGUUGGCUUCGAUCAAGUGACUGUGAGGUGUUGGCUUCGAUCAAGUGACUGUGAGGUGUUGGCUUCGAUCAAGUGACUGUGAGGUGUUGGGCAUGGUAUUGUGUUAUUGCAAGUGUAACCAUUAAUAAGUAAGUUCUUUCCUUAUAACUCUUCAUACAUGGAUUGCCAUACAUGGACGGAUAAGGCCCUUGUACAGAGUCAUCAGCUGGGGGUGAGAAAAACUGGUGGAGACGUCUCAGAACGCCUAACUUCACAGAAGCUGUUUUAGCUAGAGAUGAAAUGUGAAGUUUCUAGUUUAGAUCAUAAGUAAAGGACAGACCAAGGAUGUUCAGUGUAGAAGAGGGGGACAGUUGAGUGUCAUUGAAGAAGAGGGGAUAGUUUGGAAGACUGUGUUGAGUUGAUAGAUGGAGGAAUUGAGUUUUUGAUGCACUGAACAAUACCAAGUUUGCUCUGCCCCAAUCAGAAAUUUUAGAGAGAUGAGAAGUGAGGCGUUCUGUGGCUUCCCUGUGUGAACUGUUUACUUCCUGAAGGGUUGGAUGUCUAUGAAAAGACAUGGAAAAGUGCAGGGUGAUGUCAUCAGCGUAGGAGUGGAUAGGACAAGAAGUAUGGGUUAGAAGAUCAUUAAUGAAUAAUAAGAGAGUGGGUGACAGGACAGAACCCUGAGGAACACCACUGUUAAUAGAUUUAGCAGAAGAACAGUGACCGUCUACCACAGCAGCAAUAGAAUGGUCAGAAAGGAAACUUGAGAUGAAGUUACAGAGAGAAGGAUAGAAACUGUAGGAGGGUAGUUUGGAAAUCAAAGCUUUGUGCCAGACUCUAUCAAAGGCUUUUGAUAUGUCCAAGGCAACAGCAAAAGUUUCACCAAAAUCUCUAAAAGAGGAUGACCAAGACUCAGUAAGGAAAGCCAGAAGAUCACCAGUAGAGCGGCCUUGACGGAAUCCAUACUGGUGAUCAGAUAGAAGGUUGUGAAGUGAUAGAUGUUUAAGAAUCUUCCUGUUGAGGAUAGAUUCAAAAACUUUAGAUAGGCAGGAAAUUAAAGCAAUAGGACUGUUGUUUGAGGGAUUAAAACUACUACUACUACUACUACUACUACUACUACUACUACUACUACUACUACUACUACUACUACUACUACUACUACUACUACUCACAUCUUGCCUGACUGCCAGACCAACAUUUACUGUGUAGAAAUGGCACAGUCUACUCCUUUAGUUCUUUUCCUUUCUAGAAUGUGCAUAUCAGUGUACCCUGUCGUGCCUCCCAUGCUGUGUAAUGCUGCAGUGUUGAUUGUGUGUGUGUGUUUCCCUCAGGUGGUACUGUGGAUAGCAAGCGGAAGAGGCCUUGGGAGACUUCCGUUAAUGAGGAGCAACAGUCACACCUCACUGGAGUCUUUCAGGAACCAACAGUCAGGGCCUGAUGUGAAGGUGUCUGCAGCCAGUGUUUGGUCUCCUCUGUGCCUGGUGGUGCCUCAUUGCAGGGCCUGAUGUGAAGGUGUCUGCAGCCAGUGUUUGGUGUCCUCUCUUCCUGGUGGUGCAGCCUGAUGUGUUGCCUGCUUCAGUGUAAAUCUUGCAAGCCAGAUCUGCCAGCUGUCUCCAGUGUAGUAGUCUAGGGUGCUUUGCUUUGUGUCUUUGGCAAUAAAUAAAUUUGUGAGUAUCAUUCUCAUGUGAAUUAUAUAGUUUGAUAAAAUUACAGAAUGUGCUUGGGUAAACUAAAUUUAUAUAUUGGUGGUAAACAAUUCAUGCAUCCCCAAGUAAAUAAAUAAAAAAAUAAAUAGGACCCAAAACAAUAGAUGCAAUAUAGAUCAUCCUCUGGUCAAAAAAAAAAG